GAGUCUUUUUUUUCGCUUCCCGUUGACGUCAGUUUUCCAUACACUUGCAGAAAAAAAAAUUACGCGAGCUUUUAAAAUUUGUAUUUAAUUAUUUUGAAUGCGCAAAUAUACUUAUUUUCUCUUAUAUUUAUGAACUUUACAAAUCUUGUAUGAAAUACAAAGUUUGUCUGGUGAGUCUAAUCUGUUGAAUUUCAUUGUGAGAUUUAUAUUGCAAGUUUACGAUACAAACAUGCAAGUGCAAGAAACGGAAGGAGCUGAUGGUUCACCAUGGAAUAAUUCCAGUGGUUGUGAUGAAGAACGUAGACCUACUCAAAAGGAGGGUAAAAAGUCAAAUAUAUUACCUCUUUGGGGAAAUGAAAGGACUAUGAAUUUAAAUCCAUUAAUUUUAACAAAUAUACAGUCAUCACAUUAUUUUAAAGUAAAUUUAUAUGAAUUGAAGACAUACCAUGAGGUUAUUGAUGAAAUUUACUACAAGGUAUCUCAUUUGGAACCAUGGGAAAAAGGAAGCAGGAAAACAGCAGGCCAAACUGGCAUGUGUGGAGGCGUCCGAGGAGUUGGUGCUGGUGGAAUUGUUUCAACGGCUUAUUGUCUACUAUAUAAACUCUUCACCUUGAGGUUAACACGGAAACAAUUAAAUGGUCUUAUCAAUCAUCCUGAUUCACCAUAUAUUCGAGCAUUAGGAUUUAUGUAUAUUAGAUAUACACAACCACCGGCAGAUUUAUUUAAUUGGUAUAGUGAUUACUUAGAAGAUGAAGAAGAAUUAGAUGUAAAAGCUGGAGGAGGACAAGUAAUGAAAAUGGGUGAUAUUCUUAAACAAUUCCUGACAAAAUUAGAAUGGUUUUCAACAUUAUUUCCAAGAAUACCAGUGCCUAUUCAAAAAGAACUUGAACAUCGAUUAGCAGAAAGGUUUCCUCAACAAUCUAUGAAUGCUCGAAAUGCAAAACCACCUAUUAUUUUAAAUAGUCAUGGAAAAUAUAGUAAUAGUAGUAGUAGAAAAGAUAAUGGCAACCUUACCUCACGGAAUCAACCACGACAUAUCCCAGAUAGUGAAGCUCAAUGGGGUGAGGCUGAAAGAACAAGCCACUGGCGAGCCAGGGAAAUUGGGUGAAGAUUAAAGACGUACCAUCUCCAGGAAAAUACUCUUGAUCUCAGUGUAUCAUCAUUCAGUUUUCUUUUGUACAUAUGUUCUUAUUUGAUUUUUGUACAGUUAUUUAUUUGUUUUACAAAUUUAUUCCAGUAUUAUAUUUUUAUAUGCUAUUGAAAAUGAUACAAAUAAAUUAAUAAAUUUAUUAAAUUUUUUGCAAAAGCAAUAUUGACGAAUUAAAUAAUUUAAAAUUGUUUAAAAAUCAUCAAUAUUUAUAAUAACUGUACACUGAUUAUUUUACAUAUUGGAUAUCAAGGAAUAUGAGAUUUUUAAAUAUAUAUAAAUUUCAGUUUAAGGAAACCAUCAGCUGCUUCAACAGUGCAGAAAUAGAGAGACGGUGAAAGUGGAAUGAUUGUUUUCUACCUCUUCAAAAGUUGUUUUUCAUUAAGCGCAUCUGAUGAAGAUCGCAAGGACAAGUAUAGGGAUCGAGAUCGUGAGCGAGAUCGCAUAAGAGACAGAGAACGAGAACGUGCACGAGAAAGAGAUCGAGAAA